UCCGGCUUUUCACCGGCAGUUUCUUUAGAGUGCCCAACUAAAUGGUGGCAACUAAAGACGAGGGUUGCGCUCGUUGCGGGACUUAACCCAACAUCUCACGACACGAGCUGACGACAGCCAUGCACCACCUGUGCACUGGCCCCGAAGGGCUGCCGUAUUUCUACGACAUUCCAGUGCAUGUCAAGCCUUGGUAAGGUUCUUCGCGUUGCGUCGAAUUAAGCCACAUGCUCCGCCGCUUGUGCGGGUCCCCGUCAAUUCCUUUAUGUUUUAGUCUUGCGACCGUACUCCACAGGCGGGAUGCUUAACGCGUUAGCUUCGCUACAAGAGGGGUCGAUACCUCUUACAGCUAGCAUCCAUAGUUUACGGCGUGGACUAC
rnacentral:misc_RNA from 1 species